GCAGCAGGCACGCAAAUUACCCACUCCCGGCACGGGGAGGUAGUGACAAAAAAUAACGAUACGGGACUCUAUUGAGGCCCCGUAAUCGGAAUGAGUACACUUUAAAUCCUUUAACAAGGAUCCAUUGGAGGGCAAGUCUGGUGCCAGCAGCCGCGGUAAUUCCAGCUCCAAUAGCGUAUAUUAAAGUUGUUGCGGUUAAAAAGCUCGUAGUUGGUUCUGCGUGCCACGCUGUCGGUUCGCCGCCUGUCGGUGUAACUGGCAUGUCGUGGCAUGUCCUGUCGGUGGUGAACGGGGUCCCUGGUACGACGUAGGCUUUUAUAGCUGAAAUCUGUGCCGUGUGUGUCUCCGUUUGCCGAUCUCUCCUACUCCGGUGCUCUUAAACGAGUGUCGAGGUAGGCCGACACGUUCACUUUGAACAAAUUAGAGUGCUUAAAGCAGGCUAAAAUAUCUGCCUGAAUAGUGGUGCAUGGAAUGAUAAAACAGGACCUCAGUUCUAUUUUGUUGGUUUUAGGAAUAUGAGGUAAUGAUCAAUGUGGACUGGCGGGGGCAUUCGUAUUGCGACGUUAGAGGUGAAAUUCUUGGAUCGUCGCAAGACGCACUAGAGCGAAAGCAUUUGCCAAGUAUGUCUUAAUUGAUCAAGAACGAAAGUUAGAGGUUCGAAGGCGAUCAGAUACCGCCCUAGUUCUAACCAUAAACGAUGCCAGCCAGCGAUCCGCCGAUGUUCCUUUAAUGACUCGGCGGGGAGCUUCUACUCGGGAAACCAAAGCUUUUGGGUUCCGGGGGAAGUAUGGUUGCAAAGCUGAAACUUAAAGGAAUUGACGGAAGGGCACCACCAGGAGUGGAGCCUGCGGCUUAAUUUGACUCAACACGGGAAACCUCACCAGGCCAGGACAUUGGAAGGAUUGGCAGAUUGAUAGCUCUUUCUUGAUUCAGUGGGUAGUGGUGCAUGGCCGUUC
rnacentral:rRNA from 1 species